rnacentral:rRNA from 1 species
UACGUAGGGUGCAAGCGUUAAUCGGAAUUACUGGGCGUAAAGCGUGCGCAGGCGGCUUUGCAAGUCAGAUGUGAAAUCCCCGGGCUCAACCUGGGAACUGCAUUUGUGACUGCAUGGCUAGAGUACGGUAGAGGGGGAUGGAAUUCCGCGUGUAGCAGUGAAAUGCGUAGAUAUGCGGAGGAACACCGAUGGCGAAGGCAAUCCCCUGGACCUGUACUGACGCUCAUGCACGAAAGCGUGGGGAGCAAACAGG